AUCCAGCUGACGAGUCCCAAAUCAGUCGAAGCGCGCGUCAAACUGGAU
rfam:Schistosoma mattheei strain Denwood, Zambia genome assembly, scaffold: SMTD_scaffold0015202